rnacentral:rRNA from 1 species
UACGUAGGGGGCGAGCGUUGUCCGGAAUUAUUGGGCGUAAAGAGCGUGUAGGCUGUUCGGUAAGUCUGCCGUGAAAACCUGAGGCUCAACCUCGGGCGUGCGGUGGAUACUGCCGGGCUAGAGGACGGUAGAGGCGAGUGGAAUUCCCGGUGUAGCGGUGAAAUGCGCAGAUAUCGGGAGGAACACCAAUUGCGAAGGCAGCUCGCUGGGACGUCGACUGACGCUGAGACGCGAAAGCGUGGGGAGCAAACA